rnacentral:tRNA from 1 species
ACUAGUUUAUUUUAAUUAGAGAAUAUUUCUUUUGCUAAGAGAAGGUUUUUCUGGUG